rnacentral:snRNA from 1 species
GGAAGUGUGUGCUAGUGAUGGCACAACUGAACAUUGAUCGCUAACGUAGAAGAUAUGGCAGAUCUGCUCAGUGGGUGUUGUCACAUGAUGAAGUCGCUUCAAGUAGCUUCUUGUAAUUCGACUCCCGAUUUGCGCGUGCAUCUUCAUGGCCCUCCCCUCGUAACCUUUACGGGGGGACCCUCGGAUUUGCACGCCUGCACGGUCGAGUCCUUCUCAAGUCGCUCCUCGAACCGCCGCGAUUUCCAAAUUGGGGGGCAAAUCGAGAGUAGGUCAGACGAGUCAUAAUUAGUCGCUUCCAUAUACAGGCACUGUCUUGCAGAAAGCAGUUUGCCAUUUUUUUG